rnacentral:rRNA from 1 species
CACGGGGGGAGCAAGCGUUGUUCGGAAUCACUGGGCGUAAAGGGCGUGUAGGCGGUCAGGUAAGUGGGACGUGAAAUGCCUCGGCUCACCCGAGGAGCGGCGUCCCAUACUGCUUGGCUUGAGUACGAAAGAGGAUCGCGGAAUUCCCGGUGUAGAGGUGAAAUUCGUAGAUAUCGGGAGGAACACCAGUGGCGAAGGCGGCGAUCUGGGUCGAUACUGACGCUGAGGUGCGAAAGCGUGGGGAGCAAACAGG